GUUGGUUAAGAACAAGUUGGACCGUGAUUACCGGCAGCAUUGGAGCCUAUUUGUGUUGUCCCUUCGUUUGGCGCUCCAGUUAGAAAUGACAUCAGUGGAGAUUCCUGGCAAGCGGUUGGAGCCUUGUUAGAACCAGAACAUUCGCGAAAACAACUAUGAGGAGCUAUCUGUACUUCUUCCACUCAAGCCUUUUGAACUUUCGUUCUUGGACUAGGCCUUCCACAGGGGUGUAAUAAAAAGCAAUACCUUUUACAGGCAAAGGUUAGCACAGCCACAAAAUACAGCCUCUCACACACUUACAUUUACUUGCACACUAUA